GAUGGCUCGGUUGGUUAGAGCGCGGUGCUGAUAACGCCAAGGUGGCAGGUUUGAGCCCCGUAAGGCA